rnacentral:sRNA from 1 species
GCUGGGCAUAGUGGUGCACAUCUGUAAUCUUAGGUACUUGGGAGGCUGAGGCAAGGGAGGACUUGAGCCCAGGAGUUCGAGGCCAGCCUGGGCAUUCUAGGGAGACCCUGUCUCAA